UGACAGUACUCCUACGGGGAGGCAGCAGUGGGGAAUAUUGCACAAUGGGCGCAAGCCUGAUGCAGCCAUGCCGCGUGUGUGAAGAAGGCCUUCGGGUGUUAAAGCACUUUCAGUCGUGAGGAAGGUAGUGUAGUUAAUAGCUGCAUUAUUUGACGUUAGCGACAGAAGAAGCACCGGCUAACUCCGUGCCAGCAGCCGCGGUAAUACGGAGGGUGCGAGCGUUAAUCGGAAUUACUGGGCGUAAAGCGCAUGCAGGUGGUUUGUUAAGUCAGAUGUGAAAGCCCGGGGCUCAACCUCGGAAUAGCAUUUGAAACUGGCAGACUAGAGUACUGUAGAGGGGGGUAGGAAUUUCAGGUGUAGCGGUGAAAUGCGUAGAGAUCUGAAGGAAUACCGGUGGCGAAGGCGGCCCCCUGGACAGAUACUGACACUCAGAUGCGAAAGCGUGGGGAGCAAACAGGAUUAGAUACCCUGGUAG
rnacentral:rRNA from 1 species